rnacentral:rRNA from 1 species
CGGAGAGGGCGCAUGAGAAACGGCUACCACAUCCAAGGAAGGCAGCUGGCGCGCAAAUUACCCAAUCCCGACACGGGGAGGUAGUGACAAUAUGUAACAAUAUACGGCUUUAUUGUCGUAUAAUUGGAAUGAGUACAAUUUAAAUCCCUUAACGAGGAACAAUUGGAGGGCAAGUCUGGUGCCAGCAGCCGCGGUAAUUCCAGCUCCAAUAGCGUAUAUUAAAGUUGUUGCAGUUAAAAAGCUCGUAGUUGGACCUUGGGCCUGGACAGGCGGUCCGCCUCACGGCGUGUACUGUCUUGCUGGGCCUUUCCUCUUGGUGAUCUGUGGUUUCGGCCGCAGGGAACCAGGACCUUUACUUUGAAAAAAUUAGAGUGUUCAAAGCAGGCUUUACGCCAGAAUAUAUUAGCAUGGAAUAAUAAAAUAGGACGUGCGGUUCUAUUUUGUUGGUUUUUGGGAUCGCCGUAAUGAUUAAUAGGGACAGUCGGGGGCAUUAGUACUCACAUGCUAGAGGUGAAAUUCUUGGAUUUUGUGAAGACUAACUUCUGCGAAAGCAUUUGCCAAGGAUGUUUUCAUUAAUCAAGAACGAAGGUUAGGGUAUCGAAAACGAUUAGAUACCGUUGUAGUCUUAACAGUAAACUAUGCCGACUAGGGAUCGGUCGAUGUUAUUUUCUUGACUCGAUCGGCACCUUACGAGAAAUCAAAGUUUUUGG